rnacentral:misc_RNA from 1 species
CCGGAAUCCAAGAUGUCUGCGCCCAUGUCCUGCAACAUUUUCUUGUGAAAAAAUAGUAAAAUAUAUCCAAACUACCACUUAGGCUAGAAAUUCACGAAACUACAUAGAUCCAAAUUGAAAAGGAAAACGCAGCCCUAUCACCUCGUCGAUUCAAAUUCCCAUUGUUCUGUUGUCAGGGGUCUCACCCACAGUUGUCAUGGCAACAGAAGGUGACACCACUCCUAUGGAAACAUCUCAAUCAGGCAACCCAUCUGACAUGACAGAUGUUGAGAAUGUGAAAGAUAAUGUAAAAAUUGAAGAAAGCGUUGAUGGAAAAGACAAUGUAAAAGAUGAAGUAAAAGAUAAUGGAAAAGACAAUGAGAAAGCUGUACUAAAAGAUGAUGAACAAGAUAAUGUUAAAGAUACAGUGAAAGAUGAUGACAAAGGCAAUGAGAAGGAUACAGUAACGAUUGAGAGAAAUGACAGUGAAGAAGAUACAAUAGAGAAUGAUGCAGAACCAAAGAAGGAUGAUGACCUAAAUGAUCCUUAUGGUUACAUCAAAAGAGAUGAAUUUACAACAGAAAUCUUUAAGAUUGAAAUUGGGAACAUUCCUAAGAUCUACUCUUGGUCACAACUGAAAAUGAAACUGAAGAAGUUGGGACUCAAUCCAGUAAAGAUCAUUCUGUUGCAAGACUCCAGCUAUGCCUUUGCAAAUUUCAGGUGUGAAGAAGACAGACAAAAAGCCAUUGAAGUGAUAGAUGGCCACAACUGGAAAGGCCUUUCUCUGACAGCAAAACCAGCCAAGCCAAGACAGGACCCCCUUAUUAAGAGAAGGUUGGAUAAAGAGAAGUCAGAAGCUGGUCCUGCUAAAAGAUCACGACAAAAUGAUAAAGAAGAACUCUCUGAUGAGGAAAGACUAAAGCAAGCAGUGAUGCCUUUAGGUCAUCUAACAUAUGAUGAACAGUUAAAGGUGAAGCUAUCUCAGAUGCAGGAACACAUGAAAAAUUUAACAAAACAAAUGUUCAAAAAUUUCCCACAUUUGAAAAAGAAAGAUAGCUGGUUGGCCAAUCUAGUCUCUGCAAACUCUGGUAUGUGUUGCCCAUUGGAGGAAAUACUCCCUUCGCCAGAAUGUGAAGGAUACAGGAACAAGAAUGAAUUCACUAUUGGACUGAGCCCUCAAGGGGAAGAGAACACUGUCGGAUUUAGAUUGAGUUCUUAUAGAGAUGGAGACAGUAGUGUUGCAGAGCCUUAUGGAUGCGUAAUGUUAAAUCAGAAAAUGAAAGAUGUUGUUCAGGGCUUCCAAGAAUUUAUAAGAAUUUCUGGGAAGGACUGUUAUAAAACUGAAGUGCAUUCUGGGCACUGGCGCCUUCUGCAAGUUAGGACCACUAGGAAAAAUGAAGUAAUGGCCAUAAUUGGCUUCCACCCUCAGUCUUUAACGAAGGAGGAGAUGUUGGCUUUAAAGCAAUCUAUCAAGGAACACUUCACUGAUGGAGAUGGCAAGAAGUGUGGGAUCACAUCUAUGUACUUGCAACAGCAAACUUCCAGAGUUUCUGCUAUGAGUUCUGAGGAAGAGUAUGAACAUAUAUUUGGAGAGGAACACAUACAUGAGAGUCUGUGUGACAUGACAUUCAGAAUCUCACCUGAUGCAUUUUUCCAAGUAAAUACUGCUGGUGCAGAGGUGCUAUAUAGGAAAGUUGCAGAUUGGGCGGGGAUAUCUCCAGAAACUACCCUUCUUGAUGUGUGCUGUGGUACAGGGACUAUAGGACUAACACUAGCCAAGAAAGUAAAACAUGUGAAGGGGUUUGAGAUGUGCCAGCAAGCUAUAGAAGAUGCUAAAUUCAAUGCCACUCUGAAUGAUAUUAAAAAUGCUGAAUUUUACUGUGGGAAGGCAGAAGAUGUCAUGAUGGAUGUCGUCAAAUAUCUACCAGGCUCAUCCGAAGUUGUUGCAAUAGUGGAUCCUCCUCGGCAGGGCCUUCAUUCCCGGGUUGUCCUUGCAAUCAGACGUUGUCAUAACUUGAAGAAAUUGAUCUACGUCUCCUGCAACCCUAAAGGUGCAUCUGGCAAUAUUUUGGAUCUUAUGAGGCCAGUGUCUAAGAAAUUCAAGAAUGCUCCAUUCCGAUUGGUCAAAGCUGUUCCGGUAGACAUGUUCCCCUAUACAAACCAUUGUGAACUUAUUAUGCUGUUGGAGAGAGACUCUACAUAAGGACUUUUCAUAGCAAAUAGGGACUUUACACCAACAUAGGGACUGUGUGUGUAAUCUGGACUCUUCUUCUUCAUAUACAAAGUGACCCCUCAUCAAUGUGUGGAUCCUAAAUGUACAUAUUAAAGACUCUUAACAGGGAUUUGAUAUGUAAUAUGAACUUUACUCAUUCCUUAAUGAAUCCAUUGGACUUCUCUUGAAAGCUCAUCUUGAUGGAUCUUAUAUGUAAAAAGGGACCCUUCGUGAACAUAGACUCGUGUACAUGGGGAUUCUUAACUACAUAGGGACUUUCAAUGUGCAUGGGGACUCGAUACAAUCAUACCUAUGGAUUUCACAUAUGUAGGGGUUCCUAUGGACUUCACAUAUGUAGGAGUUC